rnacentral:rRNA from 1 species
AUGCAUAAGCUCGUAAACAUUCAUUAUUUGGACAAGUCGACAUUUAUGCUUGGAAAUGACGAUGAAGGGGAAGAGGCUAUGGUUUUUGACACAAGUCCAAGCUUUGAUGAUCUUGUAGUUCAACUGAGAAGCGUCUUACAUUGGAAUGACCCAAAUGCCGAGGUUAAGCUUAUUGGGAGGUAUGAUGUUGGAUUGGGAGUAAAGUCCCGAUUAAAGAGUAUGCCCAUCACCUCCCAAUUGCAUUGGAAUGUGUACAAGGAAAAAGUAGACGCAUCACAAGACAAGUCUCUUGAGAUCUUUGCCACAAAGGUUGAUCCUCCUCCUCCUUUGCAAAUUGAUCUCAAUCGCAAUGCAUCCUCCCCCAUGCAUGAUGAUAGUGCCGAGGUGUAUGUCCCCAAUUGUUCUAGCCAACCACCAAGUAGCCAACCC